AUUAAUGUAGUAAAAUUGAUUAUAUCAUCUUGAUAAGGUGAAGUUCUCGAAGAGUUUUAAUA
rnacentral:tRNA from 1 species